rnacentral:rRNA from 1 species
GACGAACGCUGGCGGCGUGCCUAAUACAUGCAAGUAGAACGCUGAAGGAGGAGCUUGCUCUUCUGGAUGAGUUGCGAACGGGUGAGUAACGCGUAGGUAACCUGCCUGGUAGCGGGGGAUAACUAUUGGAAACGAUAGCUAAUACCGCAUAACAGUAGAUGUUGCAUGACAUUUGCUUAAAAGGUGCAAUUGCACCACUACCAGAUGGACCUGCGUUGUAUUAGCUAGUUGGUGGGGUAACGGCUCACCAAGGCGACGAUACAUAGCCGACCUGAGAGGGUGAUCGGCCACACUGGGACUGAGACACGGCCCAGACUCCUACGGGAGGCAGCAGUAGGGAAUCUUCGGCAAUGGACGGAAGUCUGACCGAGCAACGCCGCGUGAGUGAAGAAGGUUUUCGGAUCGUAAAGCUCUGCUGUAAGAGAAGAACGAGUGUGAUAGUGGAAAGUUCACACUGUGACGGUAUCUGACCAGAAAGGGACGGCUAACUACGUG